AGCAAACAGUGAAUAACACAGUCUGGGCCUAAGCCCAGCUCAGUAACAGCCUGGGCCUGAGCUCAUUACGGUAACAGUAACAGUGUGGGCCUUAGCCCAAUGCAGUAUCAGUUCAGUACAAUGAUGCAACCCAACCCAAACCAGCUAACACAGGACUCCGUACCAACCAACACACCAUGUGGGGUCAAAGUCGACCGACCCAGCCAACACACCAAUAUCACAACAAAG
rnacentral:lncRNA from 1 species